CCCUUAGACGUUCUGGGCCGCACGCGCGCUACACUGACCAGUGCAACAAGCAUCCGUCCUUGGCCGACAGGCCCGGGCAAUCUUUGAACGCUGGUCGUGAUGGGGAUAGACUUUUGCAAUUUUUGGUCUUCAACGAGGAAUUCCUAGUAAACGCAAGCCAUCAACUUGCAUUGAUUACGUCCCUGCCCUUUGUACACACCGCCCGUCGCACCUACCGAUUGAAUGGUCCGGUGAAGCCUCCGGAUUGGCGCGCACCUCGGUGCCGCCGAGAAGUUGGCUAAACCUUACCAUUUAGAGGAAGGUGAANUCGUAACA
rnacentral:rRNA from 1 species